GACGAACGCUGGCGGCGUGCCUAAUACAUGCAAGUUGAGCGCUGAAGGUUGGUACUUGUACCAACUGGAUGAGCAGCGAACGGGUGAGUAACGCGUGGGGAAUCUGCCUUUGAGCGGGGGACAACAUUUGGAAACGAAUGCUAAUACCGCAUAAAAACUUUAAACACAAGUUUUAAGUUUGAAAGAUGCAAUUGCAUCACUCAAAGAUGAUCCCGCGUUGUAUUAGCUAGUUGGUGAGGUAAAGGCUCACCAAGGCGAUGAUACAUAGCCGACCUGAGAGGGUGAUCGGCCGCAUUGGGACUGAGACACGGCCCAAACUCCUACGGGAGGCAGCAGUAGGGAAUCUUCGGCAAUGGACGAAAGUCUGACCGAGCAACGCCGCGUGAGUGAAGAAGGGUUUCGGAUCGUAAAACUCUGUUGGUAGAGAAGAACGUUGGUGAGAGUGGAAAGCUCAUCAAGUGACGGUAACUACCCAGAAAGGGACGGCUAACUACGUG
rnacentral:rRNA from 1 species